UGGACAUAUUAUUGUAUUCGACUGUAUUCACGGUGUGAAAUUGGGGAUUACACUGUUUUUAAAACGGAAAGUGAAUCAAUUAACAUAAUAUACUCCU
rnacentral:pre_miRNA from 1 species